UAGAAAACCAAUCUUAGUUCAUCCAGUUACUAUGCAAGACCUGCCAAGAGAGGAUAGGCACCCCCAAGUUAGGAAGAAGCUAAAUGGAAUUCUAUAGACAUACUAGGUUUGAGGAGAUUUUGGGGGAAGCCAUCAUUUCACAUGGUGUGCAUUCCAGGAUGCCUGGGGUUGCCACCAGAAGGUGUGCUUCUCCACCAGAAGGUCUGAGCUAUGGGUCUCUGAGCAGAAGAGAAGGAAGCCAGGGCUCUCACGAGCCUGGAACGAGGUCUGUGUCACACGAUCUCCAGUCUAGUUGCGGGUGCCCUUUAAGCUGGGCUGCCAGCACCAGGCCAGGCGGCAGCAGGGGCCCAGCCUGACUCACGAGUCCGGCAGCUGCUUUGGGAACCGCUGGCUGAGGAAGCUCGGGGCUCCAGGAGGGGGUACGGAGGCAGCAGAGGCUCGACCUGCUGGGACAGAUGACAGCGGCGACCACGGCCGGUUCUGUGGCAACUGUGUGGCCGGAAGUCGAGUCCUGGGGUCCAGCGGUGAGUUCCUGGUGGAGACGUGAGGCCCAGCUUUCCCCAGCUCACAGUGAACAGCCAGUGUCGGAAGUCCUUCGUGAGAGAGAAACUUUCCAGAGAGCUUCUCGCGGAAAUCCAACAGAGUCUAGUGGCUUUCCCUGACCUCGUGUUGCUGCUUGUAUUGGCCUUUGGACUGGACACUGGUAUCCUGACAACCGAGUUUGGUAAUCCACUAAAGACCCAUCGACCCUAAUCAGCAGGAAGUAGGUUAAAAAACAUCUACAGAUCUCCUACCUAAGGUCGGGGGUUGGAAGGCAGGUGAAGGUGCUUAAGAACCCUAAAUAAAGUCUGUUUGGUGAAAAAUCUAA